AGUGAACGCUGGCGGUAGGCCUAACACAUGCAAGUCGAACGGCAGCACAGUAAGAGCUUGCUCUUACGGGUGGCGAGUGGCGGACGGGUGAGGAAUACAUCGGAAUCUACUUUUUCGUGGGGGAUAACGUAGGGAAACUUACGCUAAUACCGCAUACGACCUACGGGUGAAGGCAGGGGAUCUUCGGACCUUGCGCGAUUGAAUGAGCCGAUGUCGGAUUAGCUAGUUGGCGGGGUAAAGGCCCACCAAGGCGACGAUCCGUAGCUGGUCUGAGAGGAUGAUCAGCCACACUGGAACUGAGACACGGUCCAGACUCCUACGGGAGGCAGCAGUGGGGAAUAUUGGACAAUGGGCGCAAGCCUGAUCCAGCCAUACCGCGUGGGUGAAGAAGGCCUUCGGGUUGUAAAGCCCUUUUGUUGGGAAAGAAAAGCAGCAGGUUAAUACCCCGCUGUUCUGACGGUACCCAAAGAAUAAGCGCCGGCUAACUUCGUG
rnacentral:rRNA from 1 species